rnacentral:lncRNA from 1 species
UACCGUGUAGUGUUUGAGCUAAACUGAAAUGUCGAAGUGGUAGAGGUGUAGUGGGAAAUGUGGAGAGAAAAUUAAGGGAUUUGGAUGGGAGUGGUUGGACGGUUUUAGGAGAGAUUUAAGGGAUUUUGGGAAAAUGUGGUGCAGAAAUCUUCAUUUUUUUUAUUUUGGUUUGUUUUUCUUUUCUUUUUUCUUUCAAAUUCCCAAAGUUCUCUUUUCUUCUGCUGUUCUCCUUCCCCAACUUUGCCGAACCUCUGCUGAAAUUUUCUUUUUCUUUUCCAUUCUUGCCAAAUUU